ACACGACUACAUUAGAUACCCGGGUAGUCCUAGCCGUAAACGAUACUCGCUAGGUGUCGGCCACGGUGCGACCGUUGUCGGUGCCGUAGGGAAGCCGUGAAGCGAGCCACCUGGGAAGUACGGCCGCAAGGCUGAAACUUAAAGGAAUUGGCGGGGGAGCACAACAACGGGUGGAGCUUGCGGUUUAAUUGGAUUCAACGCCGGGAAGCUCACCGGAUAAGACAGCGGAAUGAUUGCCGGGCUGAAGACCCUGCAUGACCAGCUG
rnacentral:rRNA from 1 species